UACGGAGGGGGCGAGCGUUAUUCGGAAUUAUUGGGCGUAAAGGGCAGGUAGGCGGCUUCGUGUGUCUUCUGUGAAAGCCCUCGGCUCAACCGAGGAAUUGCAGAGGAAACUGCGGAGCUUGAGUCCGGGAGAGGAGAGUGGAAUUCCCAGUGUAGCGGUGAAAUGCGUAGAUAUUGGGAGGAACACCGGUGGCGAAGGCGGCUCUCUGGACCGGUACUGACGCUGAGCUGCGAAAGCUAGGGGAGCAAACGGG
rnacentral:rRNA from 1 species